UGGUAUCAACCACUCAUCAAAACUCCAUAUAUAGUGAGAGUUAUUCCAGUUUUAAUCAGAUAGUUUCGUGGUAACCUUUAAACGGAGAAGGCCUCUUUGUUUUAAAUUCAUAUCUUUUCCGUCCGGACUCCGAAUCAGGCGAUUCUUGAGUCUAACUUGGUUCAUUUUUUGUUUUCUUUCCAGUGGUGUGCUUAGUGGAACCCAUUUUAGUUUAGAAAUGACCAUUUUGCCCUUGGUUCAUUUCUUUUCGGAUUAGGCAUUCUUGCUUCAUUUGUUUGGCUUAUGUGAAUUUAGUGGCUUUAUGGGCAGUCACUUCAGUGCCUUAGGGAUGAUGUACAUCUCUUGAGGCCAUUCCAAUUCUUUUGCUUCCGCAUUUUGGAUCCAGUUCGGGUCGUCACAGGACACACUGGCUUAAAAACCGGGGUCGUCACAUUGAAGCCCUAGCUUUCUCUCUUUGUCCCCUCUAUAGCACGAAAUAAGCUCCCCCUCAUUGAAAUCUCUCUCUCAAACCUACAGAUUCACUCUCUCUCCCUCAACGUUGGUCUCUUUUUUCCUGCGACGACGCACAGAGAAAGAGACCCUAUCUGUAAGUCCUAAUUUUGGGUUGAAGACUUCAGUUUCAAAACCUUAAUUUAUACUGGGCCUAUGCAAUAGCAGCACCUUAGGCAACUGCUAUGUGGAAUUAUUCAGUGGAUUGAUCCUCCUGAUGCCAUUUCAAAAGCAAUUGAUUGUGGAAAAAGUGAAAGGUCAUAUUCCUGUAGUCCCAACCCUCUUUCUGUGCUUACUUGUCCUUUGAUGUCUUACCUGUUAUUUUGUUCUGUUCAGUGAGAUGCUUGAUGGUUGCCGUGCACUUCUGUCAAUAACAACGAUUUAUAUAGCAAAAAUGGAUUGUUGCAGUUCUUUUCAUGGUACGGUUCUUGUCUACGCCAGCGAGUCAGUAAUGAUCUACCUAUUUAGAAGUAUACUUAUGUCUUCUUUAACAAUUUUGAUUGAAAAGGACACUGCAAGUUUAAUUAUUACAUUAUAUAUUAGGGAUGAUUUGGUUCAAUUAUCUCUGAAAGUCUACAAAAUUAUCACUUACUACAAUUAGUUGGGAUGGAGGCUUUUUUUUUUUUAGUUAAUGUAAAUGUCAUUUAUUGUAUUUCUAAUUCAUGUUUACAAUGCAAUCAAUGAAGCAUGAGCCAUCUUUUAGCAGUGUUCUUGGACCCAAUGUUAUUUACAACUCCAAGAAUCAAGGUGAUUCAGGUUCCAAUGGACAGUUGCAUAUGUUGUCUACAUCAGUUCUUCAUCUACCUGAGCGACCUGAUCAACUUGAAUGCCGAUAUUUCAUUAGCAUUGGGAGCUGCAAAUAUGGAUCUGAUUGCAAGUAUAAUCAUCUUAUGAAGGGAAGCUCAGCUAUUCAUCUUUCAGCGGUAGUCAGCACCACUGCCACAACCACCUGAAUGACCAAUUUGAUUGUCUUCUCUUUAGUGAAUUGAUUAUUAAAGACAUUUGAGCAUUCUUGCUGAAUAUUUAGUUAAUACUGUGUAAUCUUCUUGGUUAUUGGAUUAUUUGAGUUGGUAUGUUUUGUUGAAUAUUUGGCUAAUUGUACUGUUUGUAAACAUUAUAUUGUGAUAAUGGUUUAUUUCAGUCUCUCUUAUGCUGAAUAUUUGGAUAUCUAUUUUGUUAUAAAAAAAAAAAGCUUGAAAAAAAAACACAAAAUCUAGCA